CCUUUCCAUUCAUUCAUACUCAUCCACACUCGCACACAUACAUAAGAUCUCUAAAAAAAAAAAAGCUGAGAGACUGGGUUUUCCAGAUCUUAAAAUUCAAAAAAGGUCUUCAAACACAAAAAACAAAACUUCAAAAAAGAAGGAAAAUCGUUGAAAAAAAGGAAUUUAUAAGUUGUUUCGAACCACGCUUUACUCUAUAAUUUCUAGGUGAUUUGGUGCUGAAUUGUUGUUGAUUUCUGUUGGAGUAGUAGCUGAACUUCAUCUUGUUUCCUUCAUCUAGCCUUUAUUUGGCAAAUUCUACUUGGAGUUUUCGAGGUUUGAAGUUGAAGAGUAGACUGUCGAGCCUAGGAGUAUAAGAAUCAAAAGCAUGAGUAGAAUAAACUGCUUAGAACUCAUUUGUUACAAAAGUCUGUAAUAACACGUUUUAAUUUGAUAUUAGAUAGAUAGAUUUGACAAAUGGCUAUUAUCAUAUGAUUUCAAUUAGGGCUAUUGAUGUAAUGAGCUAAUUCUAAAAUUCAGGUAUUCAUACAUUGAUGUUCAAAGUAUUAUAUAAUUGUUGCUUAUGAUUUCGUAGUUGAA